GAUAAUAAUCUUUGAACAGGUUGGAGACUUGGUGCUACUUGGAGGAAAGAAGGUAUUCUGUGACCAGUGGAAGUUUUGAAUCUCAUUGAAUGGCCAUGCCAUGUGGGAUCCCCCAAGGAUGAACACCAAGCCGACUCUGCGUAAUAUGUGGCGACAUCCUCAAAGAUGAGGCAAUGAAGCUUUCAGAACUGCCAGAAAUGACUGAAUACCUCACUCCCGUUUCCAUGAUCCUAUCUUUGUGAUGAGGGUUUUUUGAACAUUUAACACACACAUAUGAGACGGCACAUGGAUGACCCUCCCUCCCAUUACUUUUCUUUCUCUGCUGCUCUGUGAAAACAUUGCUUCACGUGAAAACCAGCCAGUGGCACAAAAAAAAAAAAAAGGUUGGGGAACACUGCUCCAUAGUAUUCUGAUCAGCGGAAUGAUCAGCAAAGUUGAAUUCCGUAAAGGUUGUACACGUUCUUCAGGAAAAUAAAAGUUUCAGAUCUGGCUCUGUCUGUCAUUGUGUGUGAAACUGUCAUAUCUUGCAAGACUUCAUCUUCGUGAUCAAGUGUGCUCAAGUGUGUCGGGUUUUUUCAUUGGAUACCUUAGCAAAGACGAGAAGUAGGAUGAAGA